UUUUCUAUAAACUUGAUAAAAUUCUACCUUGUUUGACUUUAGACAAAAUUAUACGCCUUAUAUUAUGGAACGUGUAGGCAGUAGUUGUUAACUACUCCCUCAUUACCAUAAUAUAAUGCAUAUACGUUUUUAAAAAAAUCAAACUUUACCAACUAUAACCAAAUUUAUUGAGAAAAUUAUCUACCUCUCCAAUACCAAAUGUAUAUCAUCCAAAAAAAUAUACAUCAUUAUGAAUUUAAUAACUACUAUAUUAAACCUUAACAGAUUCGAUUUUUCUCAAAUUUUCAGGUUUAUUUUUUGACUAUGUCAUUUGCUGACACGUGUGGUGGUUUGCAUCCGUAAUGUUCUGUGUUUACCUGGGGGACGUCUUGCUUAUGUUUUUUAUUCCACUUUCAUCUGGUUACUCAUUCGUUACUUCCUUUCGGGUGUCUCUAAUAUUUUUCUGGUUACUGUGCCGCUGUUCACCCGUGGGUCCAUAGAACAUGCAGCAAAGCGGUGCGGUGGUGGGCCGUGGUCACUUCCAGAGGUCUCCUAUAUUCUUCUUCCUUCGAUUUAGUAUUCUCCGGUCGUCUCUUCCUGUUCUUUCUUCCCUCUUUCUGCCGUCGGAUCUCCUUCCUCCUUGUCAGCUUGGAUUUUUCUAUGAUGGUUCGUGGAUUGGGCCGUUGACGUCGAUCCGUCCGCCCGGCUGACGUGCCGUGCUUCUGUUCCUGUUGAUGAAGGGGCGGUUGUUUGGGGGGCGUCAGCUGCUGGUGGGCGUCCAGGUGGUGAGGUGGCUGUUCGUGGAUGGCCCCGUGCUGUGCUUCGACCACUGGGCGGAGACGUCAGCAACACGGACGGGCCCGGGCGACGGGUGGCCGCCACACCGAAGAACCACACGUGCAGGCCGAGGACGACGCGCCGACGGCCGAGGCGAGGCUCCGCGGCGGCCGAGGCCGGCAUGGUGCCGUGUCGUGUCGGCGACCAGCAGCCGGGCGGCCGCCACACCGGAGAACCGCGGGUGGAGGCCAAGAACGACGCGCCGGCGACCGAGGCGAGGCACCGCGGCGGCGCGGCAUGGCGCCGUGUCGUGUCGGCGACCAGUAGCCGGGCGGCCGCCUCACCGGAGAACUGCGUGUGGAGGCGAAGGACGGCGCGCCGGCAGCCGAGGCGAGGCUCCGCGGCGGCGGAGGCCGGCAUGGCGCCGUGUCAUGUCGGCGACCAGCAGCCGGGCGGCCGCCGCACCGAAGAACCGCGCGUGGAGGCCGAGGGCGACAUGAUCUGUUAAGUGGCUGCUCGAUGGCCAGCGGCGCCACCGCCUCUUCUUGAUCUGAGAUCAUGGCCUAGAAGCCGCCCUGCUGCCACCAGACGACGACGGUGUCGUGGGCAGCAUGAACCGCCGGGGACCGUGAUGGCUUGCUGCCGCGCGAGGUUGGGAGGGAGAUGGGUUCGCAGAGCCGCUUUUGGUAUGGAGGUUCCUCUGCCUCCGACAAAGGGACGGCAAGUUAAAAAAAGAUGACGGGGAGGUCGGCCACACAGUUUCGAGUGGAGAGGCGGUGCCCUUUUCCCCUUAGGCAGAAGCGGAUGCGGCGAGGACUGAGAUGCCCUUUUCAACGGCGGGUCCGGCGGCGGCCAGCGCCAACGGCGGUAGCAAGCGUAGGACUCCACAGAAUACCUCGCGGGGAUCUAGAUCUUUGUCGGUGUAUUCUCGACUCGACAACUAACGGCACGGGCGUCAUCUAGCCGCCAGUGCAUCCUCAACUCCACCAGCUUCGGGCAGCAGAAGGAGGGGAGGCACGCCACGGCCGAGCAGCAGCAGCUGCCGACCAUGGCUAGGACGGAGAGCAGGUGUCCACGGCUGAGCCUUCUGCUCCUUCCCCCAUUCGUUUCUACCUUCAGUUUCUAUUUCCUAAGUUUGGACAUGGAUUUAGUGAGGAAAAGAAUCACGGGAAUACAGGUGGAUUGGAGAAGUCAGGCGACCAUGAAAGGAAAGAUUGUUUGGACGCACACUCCUAUUUGGUGAAAUGCAGAUUGGAAGAUGGGAGCUUGCUAUCUGAACAGAGUACUUUUACCUCUCACUAUUAAGUUAUUCCUUUUUUCCUAUUCUGCUUUGGUAUAAUUGAGACAAUAUUUCAUCGUUUAUUUGGUGUUUUAUUGACUGAAGUUUGAUCUUCUCUUCUUAACUGCAAACAUGAUUUUAAAAUCAUAUUGAUACAGUAAAACAGUUCGAGCAUAUUGUGCUUUAAAUCUGUGGUGACAACUAAUAGAGAUUACAUACUAAUUAUCGUUGACCUUUUCAACACACCCUUUUGUACAUUGUACUUACUUACCAUGUUAUAAGCCAUAUUUGGGUGAUAAUUGCUGAAACAUAGUUUCCUUGUAGAUACGAGAAUGGAUAUCGAAGAGUGAGACAACUUGCUGAUAAAAUGAUCAAGUACAAUACCUUGAAACCUCCUGGAUUUUCUUUGGAUUGCCACGUUGUUCCCUUUCACAUAGGGAUUGAUAAUGGAACACUAGACGGUGUUCUUGCACUGGUUUUAUCAUAGUGUAUCUUGGAUGUGGAAUUUGGAGAAUCGUCGUAUUUGCUUUUAGUUCCUAGCUCGCAUCUCUUCCUGUCGUUCCUACGCGCUGUGUGUUAUAGGCUUAGUGGUCACAAAUAUUUGCAGUUUAACAGUCAGUUUCACAACUUUCAUGAAUGCAUCAAAUAAAUUUCAAUGUUGGCAUUAACUUUCUGUUAAGAUGAAUUACCUACUGUACAUUACAAUGGGGGCUGCUGAUAUCAGGUAAUUGUAUUAUUACUUUUGAACCUUGCUUACUGUUAAUUGCAGGUUUUGCAAAGAAAAGGAAAAUAGGGAAUCAAAUAAUGGCUUAGCAUAUAUUUUGUGGAAGGUGAUCCGGGCUACAUAUCUUCAUCUAAUGAACAUGAAAUGUGUGGUCCUGAUGUUGAUAAGCUGAAUAAUGUCCUAUCAGAUGCAUCGAGAGCCUCCAACAUUGUUGCAUUGUUGUACUGUGCUCUCUAAAUUACAUGAAGCUGAAAGAUCAAAUUGGUAGAAGUCAUUUCCGUAUUGGUACUACAUAAGCAUGGGCAUGGGUCAUUGAUGCUUGGAAGAAAACACACUCGGACGCAUUUGUGUAUUUUAUUUAGUUGUUUUGUCAUCCUAUGUCCUACAAAGGAGCUUGCUCAGUAUAGUUAUAUAUUUUUUCGGUCAUGGUAGUAAUAUUUACAUUUGAUUCCGAGGAAGAUUUAUAAAUUUACCAUAGGUUCUUGCCCUGGGUGGAAGUACUAAAAUACUAACAACGCUAGGAUUAUUGGCUUCACAGGAAACAAUCUUUAGGGAAUACACACGUAUAAUAUCAGUUAGGAAUCUCUUUCCACUAUUGUUAUAUGUACUUGGCUAAGUCUCAUGCAAAUUCUCUAUUUUCCAUAUAUUGGCAAAGCUUCUGCGUGAGUGUGAAGCAUGCAAGCUAGAAGUGGCACUGAAAAAUGAUUCUAAAAAAACCUAAUUAGCCCUAACCCCUUGGAAAUGCCCAGGUCUCUUAUGUUUUUGCCUUCCAGAUAUCAUCCAGGCUAAUCAAUUCUCAGAAAAGGCAAAGGUUUGUAGUUUGUUGAUAUCAGUUGUAUGAAAACAGUGAUGAAGUCAAUAUAUAUCACUUAUUUUAACAUUUGGCUACCGAGGUCUUUGUGCAUAACACAAGCAUCUAUUCUCUUGAAAUCAUCAUGUUUUCCUGUGUUUUCUACUUAGUCGGUUCACCAAGAACUCGCCCAUGGCCCAAAGAAGACCGCUCACCACUUCCAUCCAUGGCCCAAUGACAUUCUGUAGAGACUCGCAUGCAACUAAAUAAAACUUCUGUCACACAUGUACAAUAUAUUGAGACUUGCCCUCACCUUUGUAACACACAAUCUAUUGAGACUCGCCCUCACCUUCGUAAACGUUCAAGAAGACUAGCCAACAACUCAAUGAUCAUAUAUAGAAAGAAUAGUAGUAUUCAGCUAUCAUAAUAAACACAAAUGACGCGACAAAUGAGUUUUAAAUAAAUGGAAGCACCCACGCCUAUGCAUUGGUCAAAACAUUAUUCACACACAACAGAAGCCCACAACUAUCUCAGCAAUUCUUUUGCAUUGUUUCUCCAAGAUUGCCGAUUACGGCUUUACCUCUAGCAUGGAGAUUGAGGUACUGAACGCUUUUCCUAUCUAUAGCUGGUCCGUGUGACCUACAUAUUGCUAAUUUGUUCCUAAACGUUGCUUAUAGGACAAAUCAGAGUAUAUACGUAAGGCCUAGCAUUCUAUCCUGUGGAGGAAAGUCGACCUGCUUGCCAGCUGCACUUUCUUACUUCAGGUUGGCUGUUGUUGCUCUAAUACACCAGACGUUGUUGCUCUAUUUCCUUUUGAUUCAGAUUGACUCCACUAGAACAUCCCACAUGACGUCGAAUGAAUGUUUAAGCCAACUUUGUCCACUAUCAUAUCUGAGAAUUCAAAGUAGGUAAUAUGCUACCAUUUAAGUAUAUUACCUGAUCUCAAUUUCAUAGAGUUCCCAUUGUUUUAUCUUUGCUGCUGCAGAUAGUGAAUGUGUGUACUUUUCUUAUCUAACUUUCUUUUGUGCUUCCGCAGGAGCAGGGCAUGGUGGGUUCGACAAGAUCGGCGGCUCUCCUGCUGGUGAUUAUGCACCUCAAUAUUUUUGGUGAACUGAGUUCUUUUCAUGGUCUUCGUUGUUUAUCUAAUUUCUGUGCAUUACUUGUUCUUAUUUUCGUUGCCUCCUAAUUUGUUUAUGACUUCAUUCAUUUUUUAUACUUUUUUCAUAUUUGCAUCGGGGUCCGAAGUGUUCUUACAUCUUUGUCUUUAACUGACGGGUAUGGUUCGGCCACUGGUUGGCCUUCACUGGGAUGAUGAUGAUUCCCUAUGCAGAGAUGGAGUUUUUCGGCUCCUUUGCCGCUAGCGUAUCCAUCAGACCCUGAUUGUGUUGCAUCUGUCUCUUUAGUUGGUACACCCUGUUAGGUAUGAUGUGUUUCUCUUCUUUGGUUUUAUUUUCGUUCUUUAGCGCAUGGUUUGGCUGUGCACUUUUGCCUUCCAACUUACCAGCUAAUCAAGAUGUCCCACUUAACCCGCUGCCUAAUUGAUUGUAUAUUUUGUGCUUUUACCUAAUUGAUUGUGUAUUUUAUGCUUUUCUCCUUUCCCUUCCAGCACCAAAGAAGGAGAUUAUCAGCGACGGAGGUCAAUCCAUCUCCUCUACGCUACCUACCAUUGAAGAGAGCUACCCUAGCUAUAUAUCUUAGGAUACCGUCAGCUAUAUAUGCUAGCAGCAGUGUGGAUUAAAUUUGCUAGCCAAUGCAUUUAUUCUACGUUGCGUGAUGCGGUCAUAUCUACUAUGUGGAUAUGUACCGGCACCAAUGUCUAAUGGGCAAGCAUCAUGUCAACUAGGCGCAUCUGUAUCUUGUCGAAAUUGAACAGCUAGCUCAAUCUAAUUCACAAUGUAAUCCAAUAUAAACAUCUAUUACCUGGACCAACUAUCUGAAAAUAGCUUCCCUUCCGUUAAAUACAUAUCUAUCUGAAGAACAGCCACUCUGCCCAACCAUCUACCACCCACAGUAAAAACACCGACACCACUACAAGCUCAAAAAAUUCUCAUCAAGUACAAAAAUUAACAAGAUUAUUCCCACCAUCCGGCGCGGCGUGCCGCCGCGCCUUUCUUUGCUAGUGAUAUUAAUUGGGUAUUCUACACAUUGAUAUUUUUUUCUACAUAAUCUGUCCUACUUUACAUGGUUUGAUUUCUGAAAGAAAUAUUGUGGAGCAUUUUUUUUAGGUGGCAUUUGUAUCUCAAUUCCAAGUGGCGCACUUCUAGUUUACACAAGAGGCACUUGACUAUCAUACGAGCCAUGUCUAUUUUGAAUGAGAGUGGUGUUGAGGGAGGUCCUCAGCAAUGCCCACCAUGAGGGGCUUAGGGUUGACGGAAUCCUGCAGGCUAACACGAGACAUCGGAUACCAAAUAAAAGGGGAGAGAGAUUUUACCCAGGUUCGGGGCCCUCGAUGAGGUAAAACCCUUACUUCCUGCUUGUCUGAUCUUGAUUUAUCGAGUAAAACAGGUUACAAUGGGGUAGCCGAUAGACUACUGUGGUCAACUCGCCGGGAGGCAAGGUUUCUAGGGUUUGUGCUAAGUUGUGGUGGUUCU